AGUUGGUGGCUCCAACCGGGACAAAAGGCCCCGGCCUAUAUCCCCUUUCUUUCUCCCCUGCUCGAGCCAUUCAGCUCAGUGUUCUUGCUGUUCUUGGCUCGGGUGGGGGGAGUUCUUGCCCAUUUCGUCCACGAUUUGUGAAGACUCUUUGAUUCCCUGUCCAUUCAACAGUUAUAAAGGUUAGGAGCUUGUUCCUCUCAUCAUUUAUUUCUUGUUUAGCUCAGUUUUUAUUGUUUAGAAAUAGAGAAAUAAUGGGAGGUUUCAUUGUGAAAAUUUCUUCAUUUUUAUACCAUUUGAACUCAAAUGUGUGUGGUACUUUUAGCUAUGCAUAUAUAGACAGAUUUACUUAUUUUAGUUUAUCUAGAUGAGUAUAGAGAGUUGAUGUGUGAUUUUCUUGUAUAGAGAGUUGAUGUGUGAUUUUCCAUGUAUAGAGAGUUCAUAUUAUUUUUAUAAAUUAAAACUAGAUUUUUGUUUACAAUGAGAGUAUAUAUAUUACAAUGUGAGUAUGUAU